rfam:Bacillus galactosidilyticus strain PL133 scaffold000123, whole genome shotgun sequence.
AGGUAAAGAUCAAAGGCUAAAUACGCGACGUCCUGCUGCAACGACUUUAUAAUCUACAUCCUGCAGG